CGGGGAAUUUUGGACAAUGGGCGAAAGCCUGAUCCAGCAAUGCCGCGUGUGUGAAGAAGGCCUUCGGGUUGUAAAGCACUUUUGUCCGGAAAGAAAUCCUCUGGGUUAAUACCUCGGGGGGAUGACGGUACCGGAAGAAUAAGCACCGGCUAACUACGUGCCAGCAGCCGCGGUAAUACGUAGGGUGCAAGCGUUAAUCGGAAUUACUGGGCGUAAAGCGUGCGCGGGCGGUUUUGUAAGACGGAUGUGAAAUCCCCGGGCUUAACCUGGGAACUGCAUUCGUGACUGCAAGGCUAGAGUAUGGCAGAGGGGGGUAGAAUUCCACGUGUAGCAGUGAAAUGCGUAGAGAUGUGGAGGAAUACCGAUGGCGAAGGCAGCCCCCUGGGCCAAUACUGACGCUCAUGCACGAAAGCGUGGGGAGCAAACAGGAUUAGAUACCCUGGUAGUCCACGCCCUAAACGAUGUCAACUAGUUGUUGGGGAUUCAUUUCCUUAGUAACGUAGCUAACGCGUGAAGUUGACCGCCUGGGGAGUACGGUCGCAAGAUUAAAACUCAAAUGAAUUGACGGGGUCAUAGCUGUUUCCU
rnacentral:rRNA from 1 species